AAUAAGAUGCCUGAUUAAAGGGUUACUUUGAUAGAGUAAAUUAUGCGAAUUUGCUUUUAUUG
rnacentral:tRNA from 1 species